AUACGUAGGGGGCGAGCGUUGUCCGGAAUUAUUGGGCGUAAAGGGUGCGUAGGCGGCUGAAUAAGUCAGAUGUGAAAGGUUAAGGCUUAACUUUAAUAAGUAUAUGAAACUGUUCAGCUUGAGUUAAGGAGAGGGGAGUGGAAUUCCUAGUGUAGCGGUGAAAUGCGUAGAUAUUAGGAGGAAUACCAGUGGCGAAGGCGACUCUCUGGACUUAAACUGACGCUGAGGCACGAAAGCGUGGGGAGCAAACAGGAUUAGAUACCCUGGUAGUCCACGCCGUAAACGAUGAGUGCUAGGUGUUGGGUGUCAAAGCUCAGUGCCGCAGCUAACGCAAUAAGCACUCCGCCUGGGGAGUACGAUGGCAACAUUGAA
rnacentral:rRNA from 1 species